rnacentral:rRNA from 1 species
AACGAACGCUGGCGGCAUGCCUAACACAUGCAAGUCGAGCGCCUGUAGCGAUACGGGAGCGGCGCACGGGUGAGUAACGCGUGGGAACCUGCCCUUAGGUUCGGGACAACCGCGGGAAACUGCGGCUGAUACCGGAUGAAGUCCCCGAUAGAGAUAUUUGGGCCCAAAGAUUUAUCGCCUUUGGAGGGGCCCGCGUCGGAUUAGGUAGUUGGUGGGGUAACGGCUCACCAAGCCUGUGAUCCGUAGCUGGUCUGAGAGGAUGAUCAGCCACACUGGGACUGAGACACGGCCCAGACUCCUACGGGAGGCAGCAGUGGGGAGUAUUGGACAAUGGGGGCAGCCCUGAUCCAGCAAUGCCGCGUGGGUGAUGAAGGCCUUCGGGUUGUAAAGCCCUUUCGGCGGGGACGAUGAUGACGGUACCCGCAGAAGAAGCCCCGGCUAACUUCGUGCCAGCCGCCGCAGUAAUAC